AUCCUUUCACCUCCACUGACCUGCAAUAAAAUAUGACAUGAAACAACCAAGAUUUGAUGACAAUCAAAAUGGCAACUGGAAUAUAAUCCCUGUUUUCCCAGGUCACUUGUAGGAGAAGGGCUAUUCUGAGGAGGAGGAAGUUACAGGGACAAUCAAGUGUGUAGGAGGAACCGGAGGAGGCCAGCUUGCUGGUUAGCACUGCAGAUGCAACAGCAGGGACUCUAGAUGCUUCUGGCGUCCCCAGCAACAGCAUCCCUGAAGGAGAGAGGAGCCAGAACCAGCUCCUCCUGACAGCGACCGACAGGUGAAUUCUAGUGACUGGGAAAUUCAAGAUCAGAUGAGAUGCCAGAAGAUUUGGUGUCUGCUGAGAACCUACUUCCUGGUUCCCAGACAGCUGUCUUCUUGCCGUGCCCUCACACAAAGCAAAGCUAUGUCCUGAAUGGCUAGCUACACCCAAGAGUUACAAGGAGCACUCUCCAUAGAAGACCUGGUAUCUUUUCCUCAUAAUUACUGGAAGAUGCUACAAUAACAGAAGCUAGGAGAGAAAGUUAAGUCAAAGACAAAAACACAACCAAGAAUCACCAAAUAGUUAAGCAAAAAUCACACCCUGAAACAUAAGCAUAAAUUUGAAUACGCAGAACUAACCCGAGGAAAUAAAAUAAAUACAACAAACUGAGA